GCCGCCGUAGCUCAGCAUGGUAGAGCGGCUGGCUGUUAAUCUAGCAGACACCAGUCGGUCGUCGGUUCGAGUCCGACCGGCGGCG
rnacentral:tRNA from 1 species